CCAGACUCCUACGGGAGGCAGCAGUGGGGGAUAUUGCACAAUGGGGGAAACCCUGAUGCAGCGACGCCGCGUGAGCGAUGAAGUAUUUCGGUAUGUAAAGCUCUAUCAGCAGGGAAGAAAAUGACGGUACCUGACUAAGAAGCCCCGGCUAACUACGUGCCAGCAGCCGCGGUAAUACGUAGGGGGCAAGCGUUAUCCGGAUUUACUGGGUGUAAAGGGAGCGUAGACGGCGGUGCAAGCCAGAUGUGAAAGCCCGGGGCUCAACCCCGGGACUGCAUUUGGAACUGUGCGGCUAGAGUGCGGGAGGGGCAGGCGGAAUUCCUGGUGUAGCGGUGAAAUGCGUAGAUAUCAGGAGGAACACCGGCGGCGAAGGCGGCCUGCUGGACUGCGACUGACGUUGAGGCUCGAAAGCGUGGGGAGCGAACAGGAUUAGAUACCCGCGUAGU
rnacentral:rRNA from 1 species